rnacentral:rRNA from 1 species
AUUGAACGCUGGCGGAAUGCUUUACACAUGCAAGGUCGAACGGUAGAGGGGGCAACCCCUUGAGAGUGGCGAACGGGUGAGUAAUAUAUCGGAACGUGCCCAGUCGUGGGGAUAACGUAGCGAAAGUUACGCUAAUACCGCAUACGAUCUACGGAUGAAAGCGGGGAUCGCAAGACCUCGCGCGAUUGGAGCGGCCGAUAUCAGAUUAGCUAGUUGGUGGGGUAAAAGCUCACCAAGGCGACGAUCUGUAGCUGGCUGAGAGGACGACCAGCCACACUGGAACUGAGGACACGGUCCAGACUCCUACGGGAGGCAGGCAGUGGGGAAUUUUGGACAAUGGGCGCAAGCCUGAUCCAGCAAUGCCGCGUGCAGGACGAAGGCCUUCGGGUUGUAAACUGCUUUUGUACAGAACGAAAAGGUCUCUAUUAAUACUAGGGGCUCAUGACGGUACUGUAAGAAUAAGCACCGGCUAACUACGUG